UUUUUGAUGUUCGCUCUGCUAAUUGCCGAGCUCCUCUUUUAGGAUUGGCUGCCCCUCCGCAUCCCUAAUGUAAUUAAAACAAGGGGGGAAAAAUUAUCAUGGAGGCAGAGGUUAAUGCAAGUGUUUAGCAGAUGCCUUACAGUAAAACCUGAGUUUAAAAAAAAAAAAAAAUUGAAAAAAACCCCAAACAACAAAAAAACCCCUACGAACUCAUUAAAACUUAAAUAUCGGAUAAUCUCAAACCAGCUUACUGCCUGCAUCUAUGCACCUCCACCAGCGUUCACCCGAGUGACUCAGGCGCCUGAAAUCGGUUUCAUGCUUCUUGAACUGGUAUGAUCGGAAAGUUAAGAAGACGGAAAAUGGAGAAGUGUACCUCCCCAGACCUGGAGGGAAAUGGAACGGCGGCCAAAAGGAGUGGGUGUAAAUGCGACAACAAAAAUAAAUACUUUAUAUCACCCUGCAGAACUUAUUUUACUAAGUCAACAUUUUGUUUUUCUGCUGCUCACCUUUUCUUUCCUCUAGGGAGAGACAAUGCUCACUUUUUAUUAGGUAUUCCCUAAAAGUUUGUUUUGAUCCCCGCCCAGGUGUGUGUAUAUGUACAUAUAUAUAUACAAUCAUCAGGCUGAGGUUCAUGUGUGAGCAGAGGCGGCCGGGAAGAGGGGCGAUCAGAUGCUCUUAGGUAAGAUCCCACGGCCCUACAGGCUGCAGGCGACUCAUUGCAAAGCCCCCGUUGUUCGGAGGUGAUUUAUAAAAUCGAGAACGGGGAGAUAUCAAUGUCGUUCAAGUGUGAGCGCUCUGAGAAAUCAGCCUGCAGAAGAGGGCUGCGACUCACAUUCCCUCACAGGCAUUAGCGCCUUUCAAAAUAUUAUCGACAUUUCUGCCGGAGGUCUCAUUGGUGUGUAAUACGGGGCUCAGACAGGCGCUAAUUGAGCACGUAGCGUGUGCGAGGUUGCGAGAAUGAGUGUCGGGGCAGGCUCACACAG